rnacentral:lncRNA from 1 species
GUCAUGUCAUUUGAGAAGUGCAUGCAAAAUUUCAGGUUAAUCGGACGUAUUUCGGUUAGGUUUUGAAUCGAAAGCGAGUUUGGUUAAGUUUUGGAAGUUUUAUGUUCAAAUUAUUGAUUAAUUUGUGUCUCCGACGUUGUUUUAGGUGGUUUAAGAAUUGGUACAAGUUUGAAUGAUGAUAAGGGAUAGGUUUGUAGGUUUGGUUGAGGUCCCGGGGGCCUCGAGUGUGUUUUGGAUGCUCGACGGGUUGGCUUUGGAAAUUAGAAUGAAGUUGUGCU